rnacentral:rRNA from 1 species
UAUUGCACAAUGGGGGAAACCCUGAUGCAGCAACGCCGCGUGAGUGAAGAAGUCUUUCGGUAUGUAAAGCUCUAUCAGCAGGGCAGAAAAUGACGGUACCUGCGUAAGAAGCCCCGGCUAACUACGCGCCAGCAGCCGCCGUAAUACGUAGGGGGCAAGCGUUAUCCGGCUUUACUGGGUGUAAAGGGAGCGUAGACGGCGAUGCAAGUCUGAAGUGAAAGCCCGGGGCUCAACCCCGGGACUGCUUUGGAAACUGUAUGGCUGGAGUGCUGGAGAGGCAAGCGGAAUUCCUAGUGUAGCGGUGAAAUGCGUAGAUAUUAGGAAGAACACCAGUGGCGAAGGCGGCUUGCUGGACAGUAACUGACGUUGAGGCUCGAAAGCGUGGGGAGCAAACAGG